CCCUUAGAUGUUCUGGGCCGCACGCGCGCUACACUGAUGCAUUCAACGAGCCUAUCCUUGACCGACAGGUCCGGGUAAUCUUUGAAUCUGCAUCGUGACGGGGAUAGAUUAUUGCAAUUAUUAAUCUUCAACGAGGAAUGCCUAGUAGGCGCAAGUCAUCAGCUUGCGUCGAUUACGUCCCUGCCCUUUGUACACACCGCCCGUCACUCCUACCGAUUGGGUGUGCUGGUGAAAUGUUCGGAUCGGCCGUUUGUCGCGGUUUCCGCGGCUCGUGGCUGAGAAGUUCAUUAAACCCUCCCACCUAGAGGAAGGAGAAGUCGUAACA
rnacentral:rRNA from 1 species